UCGUGAUUGCCGCAACGUGCGCUGGCCUUCCUCGUCCAGUCGCUGCUGCGCUCGCCUUGAAUCUGCAGGUCUCGGCAAAUGCCCGAUUAUAGGAAUCAUCUGUGGGGCUGGUUAAAAGUAUAAAUUAACAGGCUUGUCCCUGAGAUGUUCGGAUUCAGUAUUACUGGAUACAGAAAUGGAGACACAAAGAGUUUGUUGCCCUGAUCACAUAGCUAUAGGCUGAAGACGAGGCUUUGAACUCAGGUGUUCCGAAUCCAAAUCUGGCAGUGUUUAACCUAAGGGAACGCAACUGGCGGUAUUUGUUACCAGCGAUAAAGUUCGAGCUAAGUGAAAAGCAGAAGUUUGGAAAACUUUAUCUGCCAUUCUGAACUUGAUGCCUUCUCAUCAAACGUCCUGGAGGAGAACUGCGGCGAUACUGGUGACUUUGAAUUUGUGAUACUAUGCAAUGAAACGUGUCAAUAUUUGCAAAACCUGCAGGAGUCUGUGAAGCAGUUGUUUCCCAAUGAACAAUCAAGAUGUUAGGAAAUCUUGCCUGUGUAAGAGAUCCCUUCAAAGUGGGAGACAGACCAGUGGAUUUUGAUGGGGCAGAGUAGAACAGUUCGGCAGCACAGUUUCGGAUUUUACGUUGCAGCUACGCUUAACCAAAACUUGUCAAGUGUGACCGUAGUACCAAAGAACACCCAUCAUUAUCCGAAAAGGCUGUUAAACUGCUUCUCCCUUUUCCAACCAUGUAUCUGUGUGAGGCCAGAUUUUCUCUAUACCUUUUAACCAGAACAAGCUAUUGCCCCAGACCGAAAGCAGAAGCUGAUCUCAGAAUCCAGCUGUCUUCCAUUAAGCUGGACAUUAAAGGGAUUUGAAGAUAUGUAAAACAAUGUCCCUCUUCUCACCAAUCAUCUUCGUUCUGUAAGGCACCGCUGUGGCAGGAAAAAUGAAACCCCCUUUUCAACACUGCCCUUUCAUAGUCGCCAAGGAGAGCCUUCGCGAGCUGGUGAUAAUUUCAACUUCAUUCUGGAAAUGUAAUCCAGUCCCAUCCAUCCUCCUAAGUGACGAGCCAUGGUCAACACCCCGUUUUUCCCAUCUACGGCUGGAGGAUAAUGAUGCCAGUUCUCAUUGUGCUUCUAGACCUUGGGACCCGAGGGACCAGCCUUUUUUUUUUUUUUUUUUUUUUUUUUCCUGCCAGAGAUAGGGAAAGGACGGGCCAGUGUUUCGAACAAACGCUGACCCUUCUUCCAGUUGAAUAGACGCGGGGAAGGCUGUGGAAGAGGGAGAGGGGCAGCCUCGAAGGCCCGGCAACCAGGCCAAGAGGAGCAUUCAAUCAGAGACCUGACAUUUGCCUAUUGCCCUCUUAUCAGAGUCGCUAAGUCACUGGGGCCUUUGUGCCGCGGAAUUGGGAAGGAAGGAAUGGCCCGGCCCAGCCAAUCCCGUGUCCGGCCCUCUGCCCAGGCGCCUGCCAUUAGCAUUUCCCUGACAUCUGACUGAUAUCUUCAUUUCACUUCGGUAAACAGGCCACCUCAAGGCCAAGGUGACGGUGACCUCUGGCGCUGCAAGCAGCAUGGGAUUCUCCCCGGAGGCCCUGGUAGAGCACUUUCGCAUGGGCCAGGGCUCUUAUUUCCCACCCCGCCACCACUCCGAUGAGUGCUGACUAAAUAAAUUAAUAAAUAAAUAAAUAAACAACCGUCCUGCAGAACAGACCGCGGGUGUGCUGGGCAGAGAAAGAGAGGUGAGGAAGGGCAGCAGGGAGGGCUGGGCGAGGCAGAGGGGGAGGUCUGACUUAGAAGGUCGCCUUUGCUUCUCUGCCACUAAGAACAAUGCAGCUGCCCAGGAAACACUACCAGAGGCAGCCCGGCUAUUAAUAGGCUGGAGCACGCGGGCGGCCAAGCUGCUGCAUUUCUGAUGUUUAAAUCUCCAGUGUGAAGUUGCUUGCAGGCUCCGAUUUUGCAAAGACAAUUAAAUAUAGAUUCUUUGGGGUGAGGGUUGGGAAGGGUGUGGGUGGAAUGUAAGCCUGUGUCGCAAUGCUAUUUAAUCCUGAGUAUUUCAGUGGGUCUACUCACAUGCUCGACAGACCUACUUGAGCACGUGAGGUGUGACAAGUGCAGGGUACAACCAGAUGAAGCACCCCCCACCCUUGCCCCCAGGAAACCCAGGGGGUUGCAAUCACUACUUCCUGCAGGGGCCAGGCAAACAACAUACAUAAAUGAUGCAGACGGUGUGAAACAAUAGGGAACGGUGGGGUCUGUGUAUAAAGCAUAGCUGUGUCCUCUGUACAGGCAUUGGGGGCUGCUCAGCCCCAAUAAUUAUUACUGUGCAGGCAUAACAGCCCAGUUUUGCUAUGCCUUAUGAUUUUUAUUUAUUUUACAUGUUUAUUUAUUUGGGGGAGUCGCAAGCAGAGGAGGGGCGGAGGAUCCAAAGCGGGCCCUUGGGCUCUUUGCUUCUGGCAGUGAGCCCGAUGUGGGGCUUGAACUCACGAACCAAGAGAUCAUGACCUGAGCUGAAGUUGGACGCUCAACUGUCUGAGCCACCUAGGUGCCCGAUGCCUUAUGAUUUUUAAAGGAAAGACAUACAUUUGGAAUUUCGUGUGAGGUUUUUUUUUUUCCUGGUUUUGAAAAAAUAUCGUGUGGGCCAAACAAACCACAUAGGCAGGCCUGUUGGGCCCAGGCAAGAUCUUAUAAUAACAUAUGAUAAAAGUUGAUAUAGAAGGAAUCCCAGAAGCUGAUGAGAGCCUAGAGGUGGGCAUUUAACCCAUCCAGGGUCGGGGGUGGAUAGGCCUUCGUAGUGAAGGAGAACUGUCUGAACAGUGAUAAUGAUGGAAUAAAUCAUGGCAAAAAGUUUGGGGGAACCAUUCCAGGCAGAGGAGUAGGAAUUUUGCUGGAUACAUUGCACCUGCCAGCUAAAGACUGGUUCUCAGCCUUUGUUGCAACCAAGGGUGGCCAUCUGACAAACGGUGUCUGUCUCAUGACCUUAAAGCGUGGGGGGUUGGGUGGUAAUCUGCCCUCCCCUCACCUUCCCUGCUUCCAUAUUGCUGACUGACCUGGCCAUCAAGAACACAGAUUGUGGAGCUGGUGAUGAAACCUCUUUGGCUUUGGUUUCUGUAAAACUGAGAUAAUAUUAUCUACCCCAUAGGGAGAUAGGUUGAAGGAUUACUGUCUACAAAGUAUUUAGAACAGUGCCUGACAUGUACAUUUGCCACCCAGGCAUUAUUCCAUCAAUACGGUUCUGCUGACAAUAUGUUCUGGGGGGGGGGGGGGGGCAGGGCAAGAAGAGGGCUGGGACCCAGCUCUGGCCUUGCACCUGCACUGAUUCGCACAGACAAGUCGACUGCUCUCUCGCUUAUGCCACUGCGUUCUGCACCUCUGACGCAGCAGCCCCGCUAUCCUUCAAGUGCAAUGAGUAAUUCAGAGAUCGGCUGGGGCUCUUCCGGCCUGUGAAGAAAUUGCCUCAAAUUGCCCCUCACUGCAUGGCCUGGUAAAAUCCGGAGGGACGCUGAUACCCGGUGGCUUGUGGCUCCUGGAAGUUGUGAGCCCAGGUUUCUCUUGUGCCACCCUGUCCCACACCCCAUCGUGCCCUCGAGUUCCCACAUCAGAGACAACAAGCAGGUACCCACGGGAAGUUUGAGGGGGCUGAGUGGGCUUCACUGAAAAAGGUGGCUGAGUGCCUGGGUAGAGCAGGUAUGUGACCAUCAUGCAAACUCUGAGCCCCCUGCUAGACCCCCAUAUCUCCCUCUCCCCCACCUUAGGAGCCCGGUUUUUCCAGUUGCCUGUGAAGGCCGCUCAGUGCCCCUACCGUCCUCUGCUUUCAGGGUGCCUAAGGGACGAAUGGCCCUGGCUGCAUCUGCACGGAGGCCUGGCCACCCCACCCUGCCCCCCCCCAACCCCAUGACUGAGAGAGGCAGGGAUACGAAGGCAGCCCUGCGGACACAGAAGUCCCAAACCUCGGGGACCAGCACAGCAGCCCAGGACAUUUCCGCCCAACCUUCCCUCCCUCUCAUUUUCACGCGGAGUUCAAUUGCGUUAUGGUCUGACUGCUCUCUGAGCCAUGGCGUUUCCCUUAAUAAAACCCCUGUACAUCCGU